rnacentral:rRNA from 1 species
GACGAACGCUGGCGGCGUGCUUAACACAUGCAAGUCGAACGGUGAAAGCGGAGCUUGCUCCGCUGGAUCAGUGGCGAACGGGUGAGUAACACGUGGGCAACCUGCCCCUCACUUCGGGAUAACUCCGGGAAACCGGGGCUAAUACCGGAUAUGACCUCCUUGGGCAUCCUUGGAGGUGGAAAGUUUUUCGGUGAGGGAUGGGCCCGCGGCCUAUCAGCUUGUUGGUGAGGUAGUGGCUCACCAAGGCGACGACGGGUAGCCGGCCUGAGAGGGCGACCGACCACACUGGGACUGAGACACGGCCCAGACUCCUACGGGAGGCAGCAGUGGUGAAUAUUGCGCAAUGGGCGAAAGCCUGACGCAGCAACGCCGCGUGCGGGAUGACGGCCUUCGGGUUGUAAACCGCUUUCAGCAGGGAAGAAGCCGCAAGGUGACGGUACCUGCAGAAGAAGCACCGGCUAACUACGUGCCAGCAGCCGCAGUAAUAC